rnacentral:rRNA from 1 species
UACAGAGGUCUCAAGCGUUGUUCGGAUUCAUUGGGCGUAAAGGGUGCGUAGGCGGCGCGGUAAGUCGGGUGUGAAAUCUCGGAGCUUAACUCCGAAACUGCAUUCGAUACUGCCGUGCUUGAGGACUGGAGAGGAGACUGGAAUUUACGGUGUAGCGGUGAAAUGCGUAGAUAUCGUAAGGAAGACCAGUGGCGAAAGGCGGGUCUCUGGACAGUUCCUGACGCUGAGGCACGAAGGCCAGGGGAGCAAACGGG